GAUGAACGCUGGCGGCGUGCCUAAUACAUGCAAGUCGAGCGAACAGACGAGGAGCUUGCUCCUCUGACGUUAGCGGCGGACGGGUGAGUAACACGUGGAUAACCUACCUAUAAGACUUGGAUAACUUCGGGAAACCGGAGCUAAUACCGGAUAACAUGUUGAACCGCAUGGUUUAACAGUGAAAGACGGUCUUGCUGUCACUUAUAGAUGGAUCCGCGCCGCAUUAGCUAGUUGGUAAGGUAACGGCUUACCAAGGCAACGAUGCGUAGCCGACCUGAGAGGAUGAUAGGCCACACUGGAACUGAGACACGGUCCAGACUCCUACGGGAGGCAGCAGUAGGGAAUAUUUGGCAAUGGGCGAAAGCCUGAUCGAGCCAUACCGCGUGAGUGAAGAAGGUCUUCGGGUCGUAAAGCUCUGUUAUUAGGGAAGAAAAGAUGUAGAAGUAAAUAUGGACGUCUUGACGGUACCUAAACAGAAAGCAACGGCUAACUUCGUG
rnacentral:rRNA from 1 species